GGUAGGGUGGCCGAAGGGAAGGCCAUGAGUUGUAACCUCAUUUACGCAGGUUUGAGUCCUGUCACUACCA
rnacentral:tRNA from 1 species